rnacentral:rRNA from 1 species
GCGCGCGCAGGCGGUCAUUUAAGUCUGGUGUUUAAUCCCGGGGCUCAACCCCGGAUCGCACUGGAAACUGGGUGACUUGAGUGCAGAAGAGGAGAGUGGAAUUCCACGUGUAGCGGUGAAAUGCGUAGAUAUGUGGAGGAACACCAGUGGCGAAGGCGACUCUCUGGGCUGUAACUGACGCUGAGGCGCGAAAGCGUGGGGAGCAAACAGGAUUAGAAACCCUVGUAGUCCC